rnacentral:lncRNA from 1 species
CUGAAUGAUUUGAUGGUGUCAAUUUGUCAAAUAGCAUAAAACUAAAGGAUUUAAACUUUUAUUUGAUAGAAUUUCUGCAAAAAUGACCAAUUUUGGCAUUAUAUGGUCAAAAUAAGCAUUUCAUAGCUUUUUCAAUGUUGAUGCAUAAGUGGCAUUUUGACUUUCUAUCUGACAUGUUUUCAUGUGUCAAUUUUUGUGUUUCUAUGCUUUAAUCCAGUUUUAUUACUCAUUUGUGAACUCUGAAUCUACAGAGAAGAAGAUUAUCUCAGACAAUAUGAGCAAAAUGUGUUGUAUAAAUGACCCUCGUCUAACGCCCUGUUUGGAUCAAGUUAAAUGUGAGGAGCAUGGCACAUAAAAGUUGAAGUCCAUGAUAAAGCCCUCACUAAAUUUGUAUAAAAAGCAC